rnacentral:rRNA from 1 species
AGUGAACGCUGGCGGUAGGCCUAACACAUGCAAGUCGAACGGCAGCACAGUAAGAGCUUGCUCUUACGGGUGGCGAGUGGCGGACGGGUGAGGAAUACAUCGGAAUCUACUUUUUCGUGGGGGAUAACGUAGGGAAACUUACGCUAAUACCGCAUACGACCUACGGGUGAAAGCAGGGGAUCUUCGGACCUUGCGCGAUUGAAUGAGCCGAUGUCGGAUUAGCUAGUUGGCGGGGUAAAGGCCCACCUAGGCGACGAUCCGUAGCUGGUCUGAGAGGAUGAUCAGCCACACUGGAACUGAGACACGGUCCAGACUCCUACGGGAGGCAGCAGUGGGGAAUAUUGGACAAUGGGCGCAAGCCUGAUCCAGCCAUACCGCGUGGGUGAAGAAGGCCUUCGGGUUGUAAAGCCCUUUUGUUGGGAAAGAAAAGCAGCAGGUUAAUACCCCGCUGUUCUGACGGUACCCAAAGAAUAAGCACCGGCUAACUUCGUG